rnacentral:rRNA from 1 species
UACGAAGGGGGCUAGCGUUACUCGGAAUUACUGGGCGUAAAGCGUGCGUAGGUGGUUUGUUAAGUCUGUUGUGAAAGCCCCGGGCUCAACCUGGGAAUGGCAAUGGAUACUGGCAAGCUAGAGUGCGGUAGAGGGUAGUGGAAUUCCCGGUGAGCGGUGAAAUGCGUAGAGAUCGGGAGGAACACCAGUGGCGAAGGCGGCUACCUGGACCAGCACUGACACUGAGGCACGAAAGCGUGGGGAGCAAACAGGG